AUUCGACAAAACUCUCCAAUCAGUACUGGUUCUGGAGUGGCGGUGACAUUAAAGGGUAUGAACUUACGACAAGAGUGAAACACCAAGACCUAGCCCGAUAACACCAAAUGAGACCUGCAAAGGAAGGAGGAACCAUUCGAUUAUCAAUAGAAAUAGAAUGUAGUUAAGGUGGGUGUUCAGAUAUUCCACUUUCUGUUCUUUGAUGUCAUCUUUCCACACUUCACUCUUUUAGAACUCAUUGGAUUCAGUAAUCCAAUUUUGAAACGAAAGCAACUUCUAGCAGACAAAAUUUCUAACCUAUAUGAAAAUAUUAAUAUAAUCCAAGGUUUCUCUAAAACA
rnacentral:lncRNA from 1 species